ACCACAUAAACGGGGAGCUUGCAGGACAAGACGGCAGGCUGAGACUGGGCGCGCCCGCCCUGACCCGCAAACCUGAUAUGGGUAAUGCCAACGAAGGGAGCCGUGCCAAUGAGCAC
rnacentral:ncRNA from 1 species